rnacentral:rRNA from 1 species
AUUGAACGCUGGCGGCUGGCUUAACACAUGCAAGUCGAGCGGGGUGAUGGUGCUUGCACUAUCACUUAGCGGCGGACGGGUGAGUAAUGCUUAGGAAUCUGCCUAUUAGUGGGGGACAACAUCUCGAAAGGGAUGCUAAUACCGCAUACGUCCUACGGGAGAAAGCAGGGGAUCACUUGUGACCUUGCGCUAAUAGAUGAGCCUAAGUCGGAUUAGCUAGUUGGUGGGGUAAAGGCCUACCAAGGCGACGAUCUGUAGCGGGUCUGAGAGGAUGAUCGGCCACACUGGGACUGAGACACGGCCCAGACUCCUACGGGAGGCAGCAGUGGGGAAUAUUGGACAAUGGGGGGAACCCUGAUCCAGCCAUGCCGCGUGUGUGAAGAAGGCCUUAUGGUUGUAAAGCACUUUAAGCGAGGAGGAGGCUCUUUUGGUUAAUACCCAAGAUGAGUGGACGUUACUCGCAGAAUAAGCACCGGCUAACUCUGUGCCAGCAGCCGCCGUAC